CUGUGCUAUGAGAUCACAGCUCUGUCUUUGUGAUAUUGCUGUCUGUUGCCAUAGUGCUUUUCUUCUUCUUUUUGCUUCCACAAAGUCAGCUUUGGGAUAACUUGACUACCAAGGUCACUGAGGAGCAGAUG